rnacentral:lncRNA from 1 species
CUCAAGCCAACCAGCAGAGGGCACACAAGAGCCUUGAACGCAUCUGAUACGCAGGUGGAGGUCACAAAGAAGACUUCUAAUAAAAACCGUGGCAUAAAGCUAAUCCUCUCUCUUUGUUCUGCGAACUUUUGUGUGGUGAGGAUGUCGCAGUGCAACAUGUCCUCUUCAGAAAGUUGCUUUGUGAUUGCAGUCGUAGUUUCCAGUCUGCCUCGUGAAGGGCCUGAUGAAGCACGUGGCCUCGGAUGAUUCGCGCCAUUGGCGGUUUAGGCUGUUGAAUAUCUAUUUGAUGCAUCGAUUAUAAAUUUUAAUGAACGCAACGGAGGGUUAAGUUGGUGCUUUCACCGAUGGUAAGCGUGUUAGAUGGUGUGGCUUUGUAAGAGAUGUAAGAAGACCAAGAAGUCCAUUUGGUGGUGUACAGUUUGGAACGUGCUCUUCUGCAUGUUACUAAUGUGCAAAUGUAAUUUUAAAACACAAAAUUCAGUAUGUGCUUGUUAGAUGUAUGGAUAAAUGUCUUAAUAAAAAUGUGAAAACCUUAAUUUGUGUUGUGUAUAGU